UGGUAGGCCUUAAUUAUUUUUUACACGUGCUUCUGUGCACUUUUUUUAAAUACCAACGCAGAAUACAGUAAGCAAUUUUAGCGACCGAGACAAACAAAAACCGCUCUCAAAAUUUCACUUUUACAGCUGAAGAUAUUUCCUUGAAAUAAAAUGGACGCACCUUUUACACCCAACACUUUCUACAAGUUUGCACCCGCGGAACAGCUGACAACAUACAAGGACAGUUAUGGAUAUACGGACUACACCCUGUUUCCGACUGGGAAGGUGGUGGACUAUCCCCCUCCUCGCUUUCACCCAGGACUGCUGCAGUUCAUGAACACGGCCAAGAUGGCACUAGAUGGAAACAAAUCAGCAACUCCGCAGUAGAGUAGUUGACAGAAGAAUCUGGACAUGACACAGUGAAACUUUGCAACAGUGAAUUUGAAGACCAGUUUAGAAGCUAAAAAAGUAUAACUGAGAGUUUGUGUUUAUAGAUAUUACGAAUAGUUUUGUAUUUGUCAAAAUGAAUAAUCCGCAUAUUCUU